AGAUAUAAUAAUGGCAGACUUUGAGUUCCAUAUUAAUCUGAUGGAGUAGAUUGAUCCCGCUAUCUAUCAAUGGUUGAUGGUUGUUUCUACAAGAUUCUGAUCCAAACAUGCAUUUAGGAUAUAGCCAAGAUGUGAUAUGCUCCUAAAUACUUUGUUUGAGACUUUUAAUGCUUAUAUAUUGCAUGCAAAGGAUAAGCCUAUAGUACAAAUACU
rnacentral:lncRNA from 1 species